rnacentral:rRNA from 1 species
CAGUAGCCACGGGAAUACGAAGGGGGCUAGCGUUGUUCGGAAUUACUGGGCGUAAAGCGCACGUAGGCGGAUAUUUAAGUCAGGGGUGAAAUCCCAGAGCUCAACUCUGGAACUGCCUUUGAUACUGGGUAUCUUGAGUAUGGAAGAGGUGAGUGGAAUUCCGAGUGUAGAGGUGAAAUUCGUAGAUAUUCGCAGGAACACCAGUGGCGAAGGCGGCUAACUGGUCCAUAACUGACGCUGAGGUGCGAAAGCGUGGGGAGCAAACAGGAUUAGAUACCCCUGUAGUCCCUGUCUCUUAUAC